AUCAUUCUAAACUCGAAUUUGGGUGAUUUGCUAACCCUGUGAUUUUCCCUUUCAGUUUUAUCAAUUCUCUUUUGGGUAGAUUAUGUGCUUAGAUGGGUGAUUGUUCUUGAGCGUUAGUUUUACAUCCAUACUUCCAACCCCGAUCCUUAUAAACACAGAGAGAAUGGGAGAACCAAAUUCACAGAUAUAGAAAGAGAAACUAAAUUCGCAGGGAUCGAGCAAUCGAGCCCACCAUGACAAAGAGUUGUAGUCAAAUGGAAGCACACCAAUAGCAACACCCAAUUGCCUCAGGUUUUAGCCUUGCAGACCUAAAAUUGCAGAAGCAACAAGGGAAAAGGAUGCUCAAUUGGCUCAAGGCCGUGCACAAUACGGGUCAAAACGAAUUUAUGAUGCAAUUUGUAAUCGGAUAGAUAAUGAUAUCGAGCUUGCUCUUCGUGACUCAAUUUAUGGUUGAUUGCCUAAAAUAUACAGAAGUUAGGGAUUGAUCAAUGUGUUCUGUUCACAUAUUUUGCUUGUAUUG